GCCAGUGGGGGAAGAUCAACCUCCUCUCUACAGGGGAUCCCACUGCGUCUUCAUCUCUGCAUCCUCCCUGUUCUCUGAAUUCUAAGCACAACUCAGACAGACAGAAUAUAAUCCUCUCUCUUCGUAAAUCAGAGCCCUUGGGAACUGCAUACAAAGCCAAUUCCUUUCCGAGUUCACGUUUUUCUGACCCUUUAGGAUCAGGUUUCACUUUAAUUGUCUCUCAGUCCCCCCCUUCCCCCAAACUCUUUUCAACCCCCCCACUCCUAUCUGCAACCUGCAGUUUUGAUUUUAUUAUCCCCCUACCCACUUGAAUACAUUUGUUCUCUAUUUAUCAUUCCACUAGUAACUCUGGAGGGUGUUAAACAGCAGCUAUUAAAGUUAGACAUUUUUAAAUCACCACAUCCAGGUAACUUGCAUCCAAGAGUUUUAAAAGAGCUGGCAGAGGAGUGCUAAUGUUGAUUUUCAAUAACUCUUGGGAAGUUCAAGAAGACUGGAAGAAAGGGAAUGUUGUGUCAGUAUUUUAGCAGGGCAAAUGGGAUGACCCAGGUAAUUAUAGGUUGGUCAGCCUAACAUCAAUCCUGGGCAAGAUAAUGGCACAGCUGAGAUUGGACUCUAUUCAUAAAAAAUGUAAUUAAGGUAAUAAAAUUAAUGCUAAUCACAGUGGGUUUGUGGAAUAUAGAUCCUGUCAAACCCACUUGAUACUCUUUUUCAUGAGAUUACAAGUUUGGCUGAUAAAGGUAAUAGUGUAGAUGUAAGAUCCAUAGACCUGUCUAUACUACAAAGUUAUGUCAGUGUAAGUCAGCUUGUUUCAGCUUAGUUUUACAUGUGUCCACACCUGCAUUAGUCUCCUGCUAACAUAACAUCACCUCUCCAGAUGACCGAGCCAGAGCUGACCUAUUUCUAGUCUAGACACUGCAUUACCUGUGUUGAUCCUAACAGUUCUCCGGCAGCUGUCCCACAAUGCCCUGGUUGCCCCCGUGACAGUGACCAUUCUGGUUGCCAUUGUGAAAUCCAUUGCCCAGGGGUCACAGACACCAGAAGUCUCCUUCCGUCCCCUUGAAAAACUUCAUUGUGUUUUGGAAAUGCCUUUUCCUGAUUGUCCACCUUGGCAAGCAUGCAGCAGGCCAGGGAGACCACCACCACAUCUGGGGCUCCCCUGCAGACCUGCCACUUCUACAAUGAACUACACCCCCUACCAGCACCCGAAAUCUGACCAGGACCACUUUGCAAGAGCUAGGCAUGGGAUCCCCCACAAUGCACAGUGAGGAGGAGGAGAAGGGGGUGAGCAGCAGAGGGGAAUACAAAACAUGCUGGGAGCCAGGAGCUGCUUGAAACUCUGCCGGAAUUGAGCCAGUCCCAUCACACGAGCGCAGAUGAGCCCGGGGAUGACGGUGAAGGGAGCUCAGCUUCUGCCGGGGUGCCCUUGAGAGGUGCCCCCUCCACGCCCGCUGAGCACCUGAUGCAGCUCACGUGAAGAAAGAAGCAGUCCAGGGAGAUGUUCCAAGAUUCUCCAGUCCCCUGCAGCUUGUGACUGCAAACACAGGGAUUGGAGGGGGCUGAAUGAUCAAGAGCAGAGUGAAAGACAAAGAUGGAGAGGUCGGAUGCGGGAGGAGAGGCAAAGGGACCAAGAGGUGCAGUGGGAAGUGCAUCAGGACAUGAAGGCCCAAACCUGUCUCCAACUACUGGGGCGUAUGGUGGCAGACACCUUUGCUAUAAAGCAUGUAAGACUCCACAUGCGUCAUCUUCGAGGAUGACUCAGAACAGUAUACAUCCUGAGAAGACAUCAAUGCCGUUAACAAUCAAAAACUCACUCAACUAGGGGGCAGAUCCUCACAACAUAUGUGCAAGUGUUCCCUUCACCCAACCACACCUGUCACUAACAUUGACGAUGGAUGCAAAUGGUCCAGAGGAUUAUGGCGCUAAAUGCCCAAAGACUCCAGACACAGCAGCCUUUCCAUCCCAUGGAAAACUCCAUCGUUUCUGCUCCCUAUACCCCCAGAAGAACAGGUGACAGCAUCGCAUGAACUGGGGUGGUGGAACCAGGAGAAGGGGGGGGGAAAGCACGUUCACAAUGCAAAUAUUCAGGGGGGUCUGCCCCCAUGUAAACUUGUGCAUGCACAGUAGGAUGGGGCAGGGAGGUGCAGGGGUGGUGUUAAAUAGGUCUUGGAGCAGUGGGAAGUUCCAGAAGACUGGCAGAAAGCAAAUCUUGUGCCAGUUUUUUAAAAGGGUAAAUGGAAUGGUAACUAUAGGCCUGUCUGACAUGGAUCUCAGGCAAGAUAAUGGAGCAGCUGAUACAGGACUCGAUUUAUAAUAAUUAAAGGAGAGUAAAGAGACUAGUGCAAAUCAGCAUACGUUUAUGGAAACCAAAGACUGUCACAUUAACUUAAUAGUCUUUUUUUUUACAAGAUUACAGGUUUGGUUGAUAAAGGUAAUUGUGUUGAUGCAAUAGACUUCUGUAAGGCAUUUGACAUGAUACUGCACAAAAUUUUGAUUACAAAUAUAUAAUGAUAUAAUAUUAACGUAA